CACGUAGGAGGCGAGCGUUGUCCGGAAUCAUUGGGCGUAAAGAGCGCGCAGGCGGCCCGGCAAGUCGGGUGUGAAAUCCCGGGGCUCAACCCCGGGACUGCAUUCGAUACUGCCGGGCUAGAGGUAGGUAGGGGAGAUCGGAAUUCCUGGUGUAGCGGUGAAAUGCGUAGAUAUCGAGAGGAACACCUGCGGCGAAGGCGGGUUGCUGGGCUGAUACUGACGCUGAGGCGCGAAAGCCAGGGGAGCGAACGGG
rnacentral:rRNA from 1 species